rnacentral:rRNA from 1 species
AGUGAACGCUGGCGGUAGGCCUAACACAUGCAAGUCGAACGGCAGCACAGUAAGAGCUUGCUCUUACGGGUGGCGAGUGGCGGACGGGUGAGGAAUACAUCGGAAUCUACUUUUUCGUGGGGGAUAACGUAGGGAAACUUACGCUAAUACCGCAUACGACCUACGGGUGAAAGCAGGGGAUCUUCGGACCUUUCGCGAUUGAAUGAGCCGAUGUCGGAUUAGCUAGUUGGCGGGGUAAAGGCCCACCAAGGCGACGAUCCGUAGCUGGUCUGAGAGGAUGAUAAGCCACACUGGAACUGAGACACGGUCCAGAAUCCUACGGGAGGCAGCAGUGGGGAAUAUUGGACAAUGGGCGCAAGCCUGAUCCAGCCAUACCGCGUGGGUGAAGAAGGCCUUCGGGUUGUAAAGCCCUUUUGUUGGGAAAGAAAAGCAGCAGGUUAAUACCCCGCUGUUCUGACGGUACCCAAAGAAUAAGCACCGGCUAACUUCGUG